UUUAAUAAGUACAAGGUGUGUAAUACAAAGGUGUGUAAUUUUACACACCCAAUGUUGUGUAAUCGAACACACACCUAAGGUGUGUAAUUUUGUAUACAAGGUGUGUAUAAUUACACACCUUGGCUUCCAUAUUGCAAGAGAUGUGU